UAAGGUAGCCAAAUGCCUCGUCAUC
rnacentral:ncRNA from 9 species